AUCAUUAUAUGACACGCCUCCAAGCGAAAAGAGAGCAAGACCAACCUUGCUUUCCAGUGCGCGGGAAGACAGGCGAGAUGGACAAGACGCGGUAAGAACAAGAGAUUGUUUUUUUUGUGAUAUUUAAUUUUUAGGGAUUUCAUCAUGAAUAUUAGCGAGAUGAAAAAAUAUCUUUCUGAAAACCUCGAAUGUCCCAAUAUUACUUCUACAACUGCACGAGACGCCGUCCAAUGAAUACUUAUUCCGCUUGGCUAUUGACAUCCGGGAAGGACAAGAAUGUGAGGAAUCAAUGGUCACCGAGUAAUCGAAUAUAGUCAUCACUGACCUAAAAAUGUGCUAGAUGAUCUGGAACGGAGUGCGCUAUAUUAAUAUAGAAUGACUUAUUUUCUUACUUCCUAUACUAUUUUUAUCCACAUUUAAUUGACCAAAUCUUAUUCGAUUUGUACUUGGCAAUGUUUACUUAGAUUAGUCCCGCAAGAUAUUAACUGUCAGUAUUGUGUUCAUAGAUACUUGAAAUCGAAGGCAAGCCAGCAGUAACACAUAAGCUCAUAAAUGGCUACAUUGAGCAUUGCAAAAAAGGCUGUGACAACUGCAGACAUAUGAUGCAGAUGGUACGUUUGAUUGUCACGGAGGCCAAAGAAUGUGUCGUAAGGAUUUCGAGAUCAUGUGCUAUGCUGAGCAUUUUUCUGUGGGAUUUUGGUCUGGUGCUCGCCAAAACAAAUUUGUUGUCCAAGUGGUUGCAGGAAAAAUACAUGUAAGUGUAACUGAUGAAAGUUGGCGAAUGUGGUUUCAGAGAGUUGUUUCAGAAUCUUGGUAUAUGUUCAAGGAUGUGGCUCUACAUAUUCUGGAUAAAGCUGCUGAUAUGCUUAACGCAAUCGGCGGACCGCAAGGAGCUAUUGCCGGUGCUGCUCUCAGAGCUAUUGCUUGGUAACUGAACAUAAAAUAGCUAUUAAGAAUAUCAAGCAUGAAGAGCAAAGAAAAACAAACUAUAUGAACAAUGUAAUGCGUUGUAUGAUACUGUAAGGGACGGACCAUUAGAAAAGUGAUGGGGAGGGUGGGGAAAAAACAGAAAAAAAAUCCAUGCAAACAAAAAAGGUUUGAAAAAAAAUACAUGCAAACAGACUUGUUUAAAAAAAAAUUACAAGCAGAACAACAAUAGAACUCUAACGUACGUCAGACAAAAUUGAACUAAAUCUUUGGAAUAUUUCAGAAUAUAAAUAUAUCAAAAUAUAUAAUAUAUUAAUAUGCAAUUUCUUUCAAUAUUAACAGUAACUCUUAUGUAGUUUUAUUAUAUACUAUCAAAAUAUUUUCUAUUGUAUUUAAUAAAAAUUUUCCGGGUGAGCAUAAAACUUGUCCAUAUAUGGCGCUUAAAGAUAUAAUUUUGCAGUGUGUAUUAAAGGGAUAUUUUUUUGUCAAGAGAACAGUUUCGUUAACAUUUGUAUAGUUGUAUUGGAAAAAAAAAUGCAUGCGAGAAGACAUAUUUAAAAAUAAACAUGCAUACACAGCUGACAAACCUGGAAAAAAAUGCAAACAAAAAAAAUUUACCC
rnacentral:lncRNA from 1 species